GAUGAACGCUAGCGGCAGGCCUAACACAUGCAAGUCGAGGGGUAGAGGUUCUUCGGAGCCUUGAGACCGGCGCACGGGUGCGUAACGCGUAUGCAAUCUACCUUGUACAGGGGGAUAGCCCAGAGAAAUUUGGAUUAAUACCCCAUGGUGUAUUAUAGUGGCAUCAUUUAAAUACUAAAGUUCCAACGGUACAAGAUGAGCAUGCGUCCCAUUAGUUAGUUGGUAAGGUAACGGCUUACCAAGACGAUGAUGGGUAGGGGUCCUGAGAGGGAGAUCCCCCACACUGGUACUGAGACACGGACCAGACUCCUACGGGAGGCAGCAGUGAGGAAUAUUGGUCAAUGGGCGAGAGCCUGAACCAGCCAUGCCGCGUGCAGGAAGACGGUCCUAUGGAUUGUAAACUGCUUUUAUACAGGAAGAAACACUCCCUCGUGAGGGAACUUGACGGUACUGUAGGAAUAAGGAUCGGCUAACUCCGUGCCAGCAGCCGCGGUAAAUGCG
rnacentral:rRNA from 1 species